AGUAGGCUGAGCAAUUGCGCACGCGCAAGCGUGUGAGGAAAGUCCGAGCAUCACACAGCAGGGUAACGGCUAACAGCCGCCGAGGGCGACCUUAGGGAAAGUGCAUAGAGAGAUACCGCCGCUUUUGCGGUAAGGGUGGAAAGGCGAGGUAAGAGCUCACCGGCGUGCAGGUGACUGUACGGCCAAGUAAACCCUACCCGAUGCAACAUCGACCGAAGUUGUCAGCUGGGCAGAUACUUCGACGGAUGGCUUCAGCGUAUCGGCAACGGUGCGCGCAGAUAGAUAAUUGCUUUAAACGACAGAACUCGGCUUACAGGCCUACUCA
rnacentral:RNase_P_RNA from 1 species